UAGUCCAGUCAAUCUGUAAUUGUACCCACAACUAAUUGCAACAGAAAUAAUUUUUCGAUAAUGUUGUAGAUAAAUAUCACCUCUUCAACAUAUCAAAAGUCUAGCAAAGUCUAGCCUGGGCAAACUACCGAAAAAUGACUUUUAAUAUGACAGAUUUUCAUGGCCCUAAAUUACCACCGUAGAAGAUAAAAUGAUCAGAUGCACGGUAUACAAGCGUUCGCGCAAUAUGAUGUGAUCGUCUGCUUUUGAUGAAAGAUCCUAGAUUUAAGUCAUUUUUGGAGAUGUUUGAUCAACAAUCAACGAUGUCAAAGGUGUGGGUUUAGAAUUUCGAAAAAAGAUGCUAAUAUGGAACUGCCAAACAAUCUGAUCAGCACCAAACCUGCUGCAGCUGCAUCGGAAAGCAAUACCUGCCUGAUAUGAUGCCAAUCACUUGCAGAUGACCAAGAUCAUGUUAAGUUACGCCAGAAAGGGAGUGAUAGCAUAAAUGCUGCCAGCAAAGUUCGCUUGGACAAUAUUACUUCCCUACCCGGACAGACAGUUCAUAUGUACAUUGUCGGAAAGAUUAUUGUAACCCAAUUCGAAUCAAGUUAUCCUUAAAUAAAAAGCCAACACUGUAUUAUCUCCAUCGUUACGAUCUAACACUGAACGAUUUAACUUCAGUACAAAUUGUCUAUUUUGUGCUCAACGUGCCAAAUUUGUUGGAAGAAAACGAGGCUAUAAUGUAUACCCUGUUAGAACAGUUGAAUUUAAAAAGAACAUCGAACACAUAUGUAUCGAUAGGGAUGACAAAUAGGGUUCAGAUAUUAAAAGCAGAUUGGAAACUAUACAUGACUUAGCGGCUUCUGUUGCUAUAUACCAUCAGUCAUGCAGCGUAAAUUUUAGGACAGGUAAAAAUAUACCACAGUCAGGCAAUGAAAAAGGAAAGAAGUGUGGAAGACCAGUGAACAUGGCACAGGAAUUUGCUUUCCAGGAAAAAGCAUAGUUCCUGAUUGAAAAUGAUGACGAACAAAUAACACUAAAAGACCUUGUUGACAAAAUGGUAGAACUAUGUGGAGAACUCUCCUAUACAUCAACUCAUAUGAAGAAGAGAUUACUAGAGCAUUUUGGGUCCUCUAUUGUCAUCACAGAAUUAAAUGGAAAGCAGAAUGUAAUCACAUUUAGAAACACUGCAUCAUCAAUUUUUCAAUCCUUUUACCAAAAGUCUAGUAGCGAUUCUGAUGCUUAUAAAAUUGAAAUAAUAAAAACAGCAGCACAACUAUUGCUAACUGAUAUAAAGGAUAUUAAAGCAACAAAAUUGUCUUACCCUGACUCUGGCGCUGAUCUUAUGUCUACACAGGAAAAUAUUGACUACAUUCCGGAUAGUCUAAAAACAUUUCUUAGAGAAAUUUUCAGCGAUAAAAAAGCAGAUGUUAAGAUUGCCUCUAUUGGACAGGCCAUUAUCCAAGCAGUAAGACCAAAGGUGUUGAUUCCUCCUCUACAGAUUGGCUUAGCAGUACAAAUGAAAGAAGAGGUUAAGCUUAUAGAUAUGAUAUUAGCUCCACCUGGAGAAGAAAAAUCAUUAUAUGUACAUGCAGUUUUGAGCAGUUUUGAGACGUACAGGUUAUCUUUGUAUUAUACUAGAAUGUAAAAUAUAGUAUAAUAGAAGUGUUUUGAUUUUAAGUGUUAACAUUAUAAUACUUAAGUGAUGCGUUAUUUUAAGCUAAUGACAAUGCAACCAAUCUUGGUUAAAUUUUAUUUCCACAUGCCAUAAUAUAUUGGCAUGAUUUAAUAGUAACAUGUAUUUAAUGGGUGGGUGGGGUAAGUUUACCCCUAUAAAUGCACUAUUUACAUGAGUAAAUAUGUUAAGAAACUUCAUGAUACACUUAGGAAAUAGAAAAAUAAUACUGUUUUCAUAACUGAUGUAUUACUGAAUACUGUUUUUGUUGGCUGGUUUGCCCGAAAUGUGUUGUUUUAAUAGAAAAUGGAAAAUAUACUUUAUUUAAAAAAAACGUCCGCGAGGGGCAUAAAUAAAAUGAAGUUUUAACAGGUUUGCCCUGGAAAUAUUUCGCUAGACUUUUUUCCUGUCAUCUGUUAUACGUCAUAGAUGAUUUUGCACGUGAAACCGUUUCUGUUGCAAUUAGUUGAUGGUUAGGUGCUUUUUUUUCAUAGGAUGACUGGACUAAUCGACUCUGAUUACUUUCAAUUCUUGAAGCCAUUUUCUCAAGUGCUAGACGUUGCUUAUCUAGUGAGCGUUCUAAUUCCGACCAGUUGGUCGCCCCGAUUUGGCCAUUUUUGGGGCGCCCAUGGCCAACUGGCCCGCUCAAUGACCAGUUAUGGCCUUAAAUGACCUUGUUUGGCCACAUUUGCCCUUACGCUAGCAUAAAAGGACGACCAAUUUUUGGUCAUCAGCUCAGUUCCAUCACGAAAACUUAGAGGCAGGUCCUUUUAUAAAAUUAACAGCAAAAGCUUAUAUUCACUUAUAUUUAUUUGAAAGAGCUCAUUGAACAUCAUACUUAAAGUACUUACCUGUGGCAUUUCAUUACGACAUUUGGAAGCAUUUAUUGUCAUUUGAUGUACUUAAAAUUGUUGCCAUUAUCAAUUGUGAAAGACUCAUACAUUAAACAAGUAAACUUGUAACACUUCAAAUAACAAACUGUAGGAAAUCUUAUGCUCAGGUGAAAAUACACCAACUGCCUUUAUAAGACUAUAAUAUAUACAUUUACUAAUGUAAUGAUUUUUGAGUUGCAUACAGCAAUGAUUAUUUUGUUCAACGUGCGACAAUAAAAGUUAAUAACUUUU